UGUCCAGAAAACCUAAAUAUACACAGAUAUUUUAAUUUUAAAAUUUUGAAAAAAGUGCAAACAUCACAGUAUCUAAAAGCUUACACAUGUGAGUUCUGCUGGACAUGACUGAAACAUAACACCAAUGAAAUACAUAACAAUUGUACAUUUCUAUUUAAUACUGGAACACAUCCAACCAAAUAAACGCAUUUUGGCCCAUUUUAAAGACAAAGGUCUGAUAAUCAGGUUUGGGGAAAAAAACAGUCACUCUGGAUUCAUUUAUAAAAUAUUCAGUUAUUAAUUUACAGUGUGGACAAAUAUGGAAUUUAUAAUCUGCAUAUCAAAACAGUACAAAAGAAAACUCACUGAGGCUCAACAAGUACAUGUUUAAAUGACUAAAGUGCUACUUUAAACAACUUAGGAAGCAGCUAUACAAAAGCGUGCAUGAUACAAAAUAUAAAAUAAAAAGCUUAUCUAAAGUUCAAAACAUCAUCAGUAGUAUUAUAUAGCUUUCUUUUUUUAUACAAUAAAACAGAAAUCACAGCACAGUAACCUGCAUCCAUUUCCGUGUUCCGCAAUUUCCGUGUUGGGAAUAAUUCAUAAUUAUUUCCAACUUACAGUUUCUAAUUUCACAUACGUUAGUUUGAACUUUGACAUCCCCUCCUGUAUAACUAGAGCCAGUCUAGCUUUUCUGCAAACGCAGGCUUUAGGCCUGAAUACGGAGUUCCUGAGUGAUACUGUCAUUUCUUUGCCACUGGCCUAAAUUAGAAGAAUCAAGUGAUUAAAUGCCUUUUUGUAAUGCAACUUGACUGAAGUAUUAAUAUAUUAUAUUUAGCUAGCCACCAAAAUUAAUUAUAACUCAGAAUGUGUGACAUCUAGAGAUAUAAAUAAACAGCAAAUAUAAUUUGUAAAAUGUUUUUUUCUCCUCUUGUGAUUAUUACUAAAUUGAACACAAGCUCAAGAAUAAAUAAUUUAGAGUGAUCAAAAAACAUAGUUUGUACAAACUAUGUUUUUGUAAAAACUGUACACUCAAAAUUUGGGAAGUUACUGUAGCUGGAUUAUGUCUGGGAAGAGAUACUGACCCAUCUUCACUUUUACAGUUUCACAGCAGGUCAUAUUUGUGUUUGCCUGUACAGCUGACCUGUGCUCGUUACUUCCAAGUUACAGAGUUAAGAAACAUAGGAUACAUGGAGAACCCGCUUUACUUUUGUUUUAGCUGUAGCUCAUAUUCUCCUGCAGUUACCACACCUGACAGUCACAUUUCAUCAGAACAAUCAUCCAGGAGAAACGUCCUGGCCAACCUCCAGCUCCUCCAUCACUGGUGGCAUACUGGCAGUAUUUUUACAUUCAAAGUACGGCUUCUGCAUCUUUGUUCAUUUAACUCUUCUCCUGAGCCUGGAGCAUGUGCUGCCUGGUAGAUCCGGUGCUGCUGCUGCCAAGACCAGAGCCACCAGCCUGUUUCUGCAUCCAGUCCAGCAUGCAGAAUCGCAGCAUCAGGAAGAAACC
ensembl:lncRNA